rnacentral:rRNA from 3 species
CGAUAGCGCGGUGGUCCCACCUGACCCCAUGCCGAACUCAGAAGUGAAACGCCGUAGCGCCGAUGGUAGUGUGGGGUCUCCCCAUGUGAGAGUAGGGAACUGCCAGGC